CGCACUUGUCUGUUGUCCGAGUGGUCAGUGGUCAUAAACCCUUCUCCCUCCUCAGCCUCCUCUUUCCCCCUCUCGAAAGACUGCGCGGCCGCGAAGCCAAACCCUAGCCUCCGCCCCCCCUUGGAAUCCGCAUCGUCUUCAGCAGGGAGGGAUGAGCAGGCGCUGGAGCAGGACGAUCUAUGUUGGCAACCUCCCUGGGGAUAUCCGGGAGAGGGAGGUGGAGGACCUCUUCUACAAGUAUGGCCGUAUUGUUGAUAUUGACCUGAAGGUUCCUCCAAGGCCGCCUGGCUAUGCUUUUGUUGAGUUUGAAGAUCCUCGUGACGCCGAAGAUGCCUGUGCUGGACGGGAUGGGUAUAACUUCGAUGGAAAUCGUCUAAGAGUGGAACCUGCUCAUGGUGGGAGAGGUAGUGGUGGCCCCUCUCAUGAUCGUUCUAGCAGCUUUGGUGGCGGCGGCGGCGGUGGCGGACGCCGGGGUGUCUCCAGGCACACGGAUUACCGUGUUCUGGUUACUGGCCUGCCUUCUUCUGCGUCCUGGCAAGAUUUAAAGGACCAUAUGCGAAGGGCUGGUGAUGUUUGUUUCGCAGAAGUGUAUCGUGAAGGCGGCGGCACCAUAGGAAUUGUGGACUACACAAACUAUGAUGAUAUGAAAUAUGCUAUAAAGAAACUGGAUGACACUGAAUUUAAGAAUGCAUUUUCUAAAGGUUAUAUAAGGGUGAAGGAAUAUGAUGGCAAACGUGGGCGCUCCUACUCACGUAGCCGGAGCCCAAGUCGUAGCCGCAGCAAAAGCAGGAGCCCAAGCAAAUCUCCCAGGGCCCGCUCAGCAUCUAGGUCCAGAUCAAGGUCUCUUUCUUCCCGUUCUCGUUCAGCAUCAAAAGGACGUUCUCCAUCAAGACACCUUUGAUAAUGUUGGCACAUGAUAAUGUCGGACUGCAAGGGGAUUUCCUUCUCAAGAACUCAGUUUAUGCUACAAACGAUGUGAACUGCUUAGAUUCUUGUGUUUUUUGAAGACUUCUCUUCAUUUUAUCUGGGAUUGUGCGGCGAUCUGGGGAUUGCACAUUAGGAUAUUGAGGAUGGAAUUUGCUACAGUUGUGUUGGUUGUAUGAGAGCUUGGGCAUAGCGCAUUUUUUGGAAUUCUGGACAUAAGAGCCUUAAGGAAUGACGAUAUGGAUUAUGAUGGUACAGUGACUAGGAAUUUGCUUGGGAGUCCAAUGCAUGAGGAAUGAGUUUGCUUCCUACUUGUACUCUCCACAUGGUUGUAGUUUGCAUGCACUAAUUGCAUUCAGUACCAGAUGUUUGCAUUUCCUUGAGCUCUUUUCGCUUUCAUUUGGUUAGUCCAAUACCGGAUCACCAGCAAGAUCGAAAUCCCCAAUUGCUUCUCCGGCAAACGGUGUAGUGGCAAGUCCAGGGGCAAGCCCGAAGAAACGCAGUCCAAGCAGGAGUCCAUCUCGUUCACGGUCACCUGAUGUAAAUGCGAAAUCUGAAUAGAAGCACUGCACUGGGCAGAUGAGGCGUGUGCUCAGGUCUAGAUAUUUGUUGUCCUCUAUGCUUCUUGAGAAGAUGUCAGCAACUGUCCAAUGAGUCUCCUUUAUUGUAUGAACAGUGUCAACUUGUAUUGCUGAAGCCAUCGAACUUGAGCACUAUCAUAUGCGAUGCCUGCCAGCCAGCCUUUCAUUCAACUAGUACUUUGUCUGUUAAAUGUUAUUUCGUGGAUUCUGUUAAAAAAUUCAUGCAAGACGUUUGUGUAUUCAUGCUUCAUGCUUUUUCUCACCAA